rnacentral:sRNA from 1 species
UCUCCGUGUGUCCGUACACCUCGUACUAGGGUCACAGAUGUAUGCUUCCAUGCCUAUUUUUUUUAAUUUUAAAUAUGGGUCUGGGGAUGUAACAGGCUUCCAUACUUGUGUGCUGGGCUCAUGCAGGCACUUCAUCCACGGAGUCAUCUUCUCGUCCUCACAAUGGACUUCUGUUCAACUGUUAAGAGAAACGGAAAUAUGGAAUUUGCAGAAAAAUAAAUCAAACAGGAAAGCUUGAUAUUAAAUGAGGGUAGCGGUGGUGGCAAGGUGAGAUAUGUCGCAUCCGGAGGGCUGUGGGGUGGCCUGGGUAUUACCCAUGGUGCACAGCGGCUUUCAGCAGCAUCUGGACUUCAGCUUGGAUCCAAAUCCUGCCAUUUCCAGGUUGGGUGACUUGCAAGCUUCAAAUGUGUAAAACGACACAGUGGCACCUGCUUUUCAGAGUUGCAAAGAUGACUAUUUUCAGAGUACUGCUGUAAAAGCAGAUCUGCAGAGUACCUGGCAUCUGUGGUGAGCUUGUAACAUUUCAUGGAAGUUCAUCAGUGUGGGCCCUCAAAGGAAUGAGUCUCUUUCUCGGUUACAGAGAAAACCUGCUAUAACCCAGUCCAGUUGCUCAGUGGCUUCGUAAGUCGGGUCCAGAUUGCUGUCCCUAAUACUGAGAGAGAGAUGGCCUUGUACUGCUGCUUCAGAUUAGACUAUCUGUGGGGCUGGAUCAUUAAGACAUGACACGAUUUGAAUAUUUUUGAACUCAGGGGAAGGUAAUAGAAAAUUGCAUUACCUGGCAUCUCAGUCACUAUCUAGGUUUCUUACUUUUUGUGUCCUAUUUUGGCUACUGGAGCCUGCUAACUGUGUCUCAAACUCUUCCCAUAAACUUCCUAACCAGAGCAAGCCCUUAGGAAUCCAAAGGGCUGGUCGCAGAUUAGGCGGUAGCUCUAGAAGCUUCAAUUUAUUACCAGGGAAGCCUUCCCUGGUGGGGACUCCACUGGGUAUUUCCCUGGGAGAUUCAAAUUUUAUUUUAUUUAUUAAGUACAGUGCUGCUUAAAGUCUGAAGUAUUUCUGUAUCUGAAUCUAUGCUGUUUGUCUAGUUUCAAGUUGGAGGAAGCUCAAGUCUCCUUCAGGUUCUCAGUGAAAACAUUUUAGAAAUGGCCCCUGUGUUUCUAAUGGCAGGACAUUUGCGGCCAACUCCAACCUUACAGCCACUCACUCACCAGGGGCAGGCAAGUUCUGGGAGAUGGAUGGGAUUUCAAGCACAAACUGAGUGGCUCUCUCAAGCCAGGCACAGCACAACUGCAGAAAACAGGAGAUGGGGUUCAAUCCCGGAGGUAUGUACAUCCAGGGAGUGCUACACCUCGGACCAUGGAUCUUACCUGUCCUUAGGCAUGCUACUUCACUUCCGGGUCUGUGACUGGCUGCUUGGCUUUCUGUGAAACAACAAGCCUGAGCUUGGUACUCAUGUACCAUAGGUAAGAGUGGCAACAUUAGAUGUUGACACAGACUUCUCCAAGGUCUAAAGCAUCAAGUAGAUAGCUCCUGUCUUGUUCAUUAAGUCUAUUUGUGCUUGCUAAGCUGUUCUUCCCUAAACAGGGAGAGCAUAGGCCCCAAGUCCAAAAGACCCUCUGCUUUGUGCCGGCUGCUGGGGAAAGCUUAAAUGGGAAAGAAACACACCAGCUCUGGCCCAGAAGUGGCACCCACUCUCUUAUGCACAUUCAGUUAGUGACAAGUUGCUUAGCCACACCAAGAGGCAAGUGGAGGGCACGUUCUACAAAUGUCUCUCUACCAUGAAGGUAGCAUGUAUAAAAUAAAGGUAAUAAUGUUUACCACAGAAAGGUUAUUAGAAAGGGCAAGUGUGAUCUCAAGUACUUAACACAGUGACAUAUGAGAGAAACUCAUCCUAGGCUUAACCGAGACAAGGAUGAAGAGGGGCUCUUUCUCCACCAGCCUCUACUGGCUGCCAUGACUGCCUUUCUUGGUGCUAUUUUGAUAUGAGUGUGGACAGGGGUGAUGGGAGGGAUUGAAGGUUCCUCAGCUAGCCAAUAAAACAACUGAAGGCAGGAUGGUGUGCAGUUCUGGUACAUGCUCUGCACGCCGUGAGCACAGGAGGGAAGCCUAAUAAACUACGCCGGGCAAAGGAACCUUGUUGAAUGGCAGAUGGGUAAUUAUGCCAUCGCCUCCAAGGAGCUGAACUGAGGGUGGCUACACGUUGGGCCACAGAGCAGAGCCAGGCUCCCCCAACCUCCUAGAAUCACAUAUGUUUGUUUUCCUGGUUGCAAGGUGGGAAGGUCAGUGCUGCCCUCCGACCCCCAUGAUUCCAAGUGUGACAGGACUCUUCUGUUCAACAGGCAGUUGGCUUUUGGCUUCUGGGGUGAUCUCAGCCAUCAAAUUGCCCGCUUGAGUAUUCAAAGCAAUAAGUCUUUGUAGCAAAAACACUGGCAACUGUGGUUGGGCUCAAGUUGGAAGUUAAAAUGUGUGAUUUCCAAGCUCGAAUGAGGGGAAGAACAGAAAGAACAUGGGCUGUGUGGCUCAAUAGCUCUGCCUUCAAUGACAGGAUUGGAAAGAAGUUUUAAGCAAUACAUUCAACCAACCAGACUCAGUUUCCUCGUCUGCAAAAUGAUGAGAUGGGAUACUGAAGACAUGUGCCAUUACUGUGUGGAGUUAAUCUGUGACUUUAUAUGUCACAGUGUUUGUCUCAUAAAACGGGACACGCUCAUGUUCAGGGCUAAACUGAAGCCUGCCGGCCAGACUGUGACCAUCUGAGGAUUAGGCCAGAAGACCUGGUCCCUGCGCUAUCAGGUGACAGGAUUCAGAGACCAGAUAUAAUCUCCAUCACCCAGGGCCCACGAUAGGAAGGUACAGAUGCUGCGCAGACAGCGAAGGCGUCAUUUUAAAAGAAUGCUGGUCUUUCUCACUUACUCGGAAACCCCCUUCAUCACAGAGCCUGAAUGAAGCUCUUGAAUUUCUGAGGAAGGAUCAGGCCUGCGAGUCUUACUGCAGGAACCUUCUGGAACUCAUCCACGCCAGCAGAUUCCUAGCUGAGCAGCUGCGACGGGGAACUGGAUUUUAUUUCUGACGCUGACGCGGACUUACGAUGACUCCCGUUUCAGUCCCUUUGCUCCUUGAGACCUCGGUGUUUAGGACCCGAGAACAGUGACCCUCCAUCUGUGGGGAUCUUGUGCAAAAUGGAGGACACCUGUGUGUCGGGGCACGAAGUAGAACUGUUUGUUGGAGCAUUCUGUCGAUCCUUCGAGUCCCUCUCCUUCUACCACAAAACAUCACAUUGUUACCGUCUCGCAGUGACCUUUUCUGGCAUCACCGAGUCACCAACCUGGGCUCAUUGAGUUACUGCUCACUGAGCACCGCGGGCAGUGAGCUCCGGACUGACCCUGCCGGUCCUGGGGUUCUACGUCCUGUUCCUUAGGGGUUCCUUCAGGACACUUUGGAAGAGACAAACUCUGUGCAGCUCUCCCAGCAGCCUUGGCCAUGCCCUGUUACUUUCCAGUUGAUGCUGCUGGUUGCAUUUUGUUGUUUGGCUGUUUGUUUUUUUAAAAAGACAUCCGCCUUCUGUUCCACAGCUGGGGCAUCAAAUCAGGCUUUAGUUGUGGAACUUUUGUUUACUUUGCUCGCUAGCUGGGGUGGUCAGGAGUUUAACCAAGGUCAAUGCCCUGGAGUCUGGAAAGAGAAUCCGAGCAGUUUCUAGCUACUAAAUCUGCUGGUGUAUAAAGGAAUUUAAAAACCGUUGACCCACACAAUCUGGUUAUGUUCAGGAUAAAUUCAUUUUUGUCUUGCCUUAAAAAUAAUAAGAAGUGUCUAAAUGUUUAUGUUUUCAUCCUGCAGCAGGCAGCCUUGACAAUGCAAGGUGAGUUUUUUUGUGGUAGAAAAAAAUAAUUAUAGAAAUAAACAUGGCAGCAUUCA